CGUAUCACUUAAAGCGAUUCAGCGGGUUACGAUUGACGGAGCGAAGCGACGUCAAAGCGUAUACAAAGUCGAGUCGGUUUAAGGAUACGUUCGUUGGGUAGGGGAGCGUUCUGUAAGCCUGUGAAGGUGGCCUGUGAGGGUUGCUGGAGGUAUCAGAAGUGCGAAUGCUGACAUAAGUAACGAUAAAGCGGGUGAAAAGCCCGCUCGCCGGAAGACCAAGGGUUCCUGUCCAACGUUAAUCGGGGCAGGGUGAGUCGACCCCUAAGGCGAGGCCGAAAGGCGUAGUCGAUGGGAAACAGGUUAAUAUUCCUGUACUUGGUGUUACUGCGAAGGGGGGACGGAGAAGGCUAUGUUGGCCGGGCGACGGUUGUCCCGGUUUAAGCGUGUAGGUGUGUGUUCCAGGUAAAUCCGGUUCACUUUAACACUGAGGCGUGAUGACGAGGCACUACGGUGCUGAAGCAACAAAUGCCCUGCUUCCAGGAAAAGCCUCUAAGCAUCAGGUAACAUCAAAUCGUACCCCAAACCGACACAGGUGGUCAGGUAGAGAAUACCAAGGCGCUUGAGAGAACUCGGGUGAAGGAACUAGGCAAAAUGGUGCCGUAACU
rnacentral:rRNA from 1 species